UACGUAGGGCGCAAGCGUUAUCCGGAAUUAUUGGGCGUAAAGAGCUCGUAGGCGGUUUUGUCGCGUCUGCCGUGAAAGUCCGGGGCUCAACUCCGGAUCUGCGGUGGGUACGGGCAGACUAGAGUGAUGUAGGGGAGACUGGAAUUCCUGGUGUAGCGGUGAAAUGCGCAGAUAUCAGGAGGAACACCGAUGGCGAAGGCAGGUCUCUGGGCAUUAACUGACGCUGAGGAGCGAAAGCAUGGGGGAGCGAACAGG
rnacentral:rRNA from 1 species